rnacentral:rRNA from 1 species
AAGAACUUGCCUCUUAGACCGGGACAACAUCUGGAAACGGAUGCUAAUACCGGAUAUUAUGGUUUUUUCGCAUGGAGGAAUCAUGAAAGCUGGAUGCGCUAAGAGAGAGCUUUGCGUCCCAUUAGCUAGUUGGUGAGGUAACGGCCCACCAAGGCAAUGAUGGGUAGCCGGCCUGAGAGGGUGAACGGCCACAAGGGGACUGAGACACGGCCCUUACUCCUACGGGAGGCAGCAGUGGGGAAUAUUGGACAAUGG